rnacentral:rRNA from 1 species
UACAGAGGUGGCAAGCGUUGUUCGGAAUUACUGGGCGUAAAGGGCGCGUAGGCGGCCCGCUAAGUCGAACGUGAAAUCCCCGAGCUCAACUCGGGAACUGCGUCCGAUACUGGCGGGCUUGAAUUCGGGAGAGGGAUGCAGAAUUCCAGGUGUAGCGGUGAAAUGCGUAGAUAUCUGGAGGAAUACCGGUGGCGAAGGCGGCAUCCUGGACCGACAUUGACGCUGAGGAGCGAAAGCUAGGGGAGCAAACGGG